CAGUCAAAAGCAGACAUCCAGAGAAAAGAGUAUGAAGAAGUAGCUAUAUACAUCUGCUUUUCCAGUACAGUCGUGGACAGUCACACUUUUGAUGACCCUAAGACACCUGUUGGUUUUAGAGACCUGGAUAACUUCAAUGAAUUUGUUCAUUGACUCUUUGGUUAAAAAUUGUGGAAGAGAAGUUUGGAACCCAAAUGAAUGAAUGAAUAAAUGAGUGAAUGAAUAAAAGAAAGAACUGUUCCAGGUAUCUGGAUUCAUGAUGUGUUGUCCAAAAAUAAUUCAGUAGUACUAUUCACUGAGAAUAAAUCCAUGGGAAUUCAGAGAGUUACAGCCAGCACCUCUAUCUCAACAAUCUAAAUACCAGUCACAAGAGAAAGGAAAUGGUACAGGGUACUGCCGUUAUGCUGCUUUGCACUACUGGUGAUAUCUUUCAUGUUUCUUCCAGUUAUAUGUAUUUCAAGACAGGGAAAAGCUUUCUACCAGUUUCCAGCUGCUGCUUUCUUUAUCUGCUACUGCAAAACCUGAAGGUAUUCAGAGAUACUGAAUUGGAAAAGCAUUCAGAAAUUCCACCUGUGCAAGACAAAACAACUCAAACCUCCUGGGGAGCCUACCAGGCACUGUUGGUAUUCCAACAACCUCUUCUUCAUUCUUGCCUUAUCAAAACAACUGUUCUCCUUGGACACCUAAGGGCUGCUGUGCUGCAAUGUGAAGAUCUCAGGAGCUGCUAUCAGACUGUUCUUGCUUGGCAGAGGGCCCCAUAUUAUGUUAUUUUGUGCCAGAGCUGAUUGGAGUGAGUCUGUUCACAAUAAAUUUCAGAUGACAAUACUGAACUACA
rnacentral:lncRNA from 1 species